GAUGAACGCUGGCGGCGUGCCUAACACAUGCAAGUCGAGCGGAAAGACGGGGAGAUCGUUCUUCUGAGGUUGGCGGCGGACGGGUGAGUGAAGAGUAGAUCGCAUGCCUAUUUGACUGGGAUAAUUUCGGGGACCCGGAGACAAUACCGGAUAAUAUAUUGAACGGCAGGGUUCAGUAGUUGAUGGAAGUUUUGUUGUUAGUUUUAGGUGAUGCCGCGCCGGCUUAGCUAGUUGGUGAGGGAACGGCUUACCAAGGCGACGAAGCGUAGCUGACCUGAGAGGGUGAUCGGCCACACUGGAACUGAGACACGGUCCAGACUCCUACGGGAGGCAGCAGUAGGGAAUCUUCCGCAAUGGGCGAAAGCCUGACGGAGCAACGCCGCGUGAGUGAUGAAGGUCUUCGGAUUGUAAAACUCUGUUAUUGGGGAAGAAAAAAAGUGUAAGUAACUAUGCACGUCUUGACGGUACCUAAAGAAAAAGCACCGGCUAACUACGUG
rnacentral:rRNA from 1 species